rnacentral:rRNA from 1 species
CCUGGCUUAGGAUGAACGCUAGCGACAGGCUUAACACAUGCAAGUCGAGGGGUAACAGGGUAGCAAUACCGCUGACGACCGGCGCACGGGUGAGUAACGCGUAUGCAACCUGCCUAUAACUGGGGAAUAGCUCCCUGAAAGGGGGAAUUAACACCGCAUAACACUAUUGAUUCGCAUGGAUUGGUAGUUAAAUGUAGCGAUACAGGUUAUAGAUGGGCAUGCGUGACAUUAGCUAGUUGGUGAGGUAACGGCUCACCAAGGCUACGAUGUCUAGGGGUUCUGAGAGGAAGGUCCCCCCACACUGGUACUGAGACACGGACCAGACUCCUACGGGAGGCAGCAGUGAGGAAUAUUGGUCAAUGGGCGCAAGCCUGAACCAGCCAUGUCGCGUGCAGGAAGAACCUGCCCUAUGGGUUGUAAACUGCUUUUAUAGUAGAAGAAACACAUCUACGCGUAGAUGUCUGCCAGUAUACUAUGAAUAAGCAUCGGCUAACUCCGUGCCAGCCGCCGC